GAUGAACGCUAGCGGCAGGCCUAAUACAUGCAAGUCGAACGAGAUUAAGAGGCUUGCUUCUUAUGAAAGUGGCGCACGGGUGCGUAACGCGUAUGCAACCUACCUUAAUCAGGGGGAUAGCCCGAAGAAAUUCAGAUUAAGACCGCAUAAAAACACAGGAUAGCAUUAUCCAAUGUUCAAAUAUUUAUAGGAUUAAGAUGGGCAUGCGUGUCAUUAGCUAGUUGGCGGGGUAACGGCCCACCAAGGCGACGAUGACUAGGGGAUCUGAGAGGAUGACCCCCCACACUGGUACUGAGACACGGACCAGACUCCUACGGGAGGCAGCAGUAAGGAAUAUUGGUCAAUGGAGGGAACUCUGAACCAGCCAUGCCGCGUGCAGGAAGACAGCCCUCUGGGUCGUAAACUGCUUUUGUUCGGGAAUAAACCUUUCUACGUGUAGGAAGCUGAAUGUACCGAAGGAAUAAGGAUCGGCUAACUCCGUGCCAGCAGCCGCCGCGG
rnacentral:rRNA from 1 species